rnacentral:rRNA from 1 species
UCCCGUUGAUCCUGCGGGAGGUUGCUGCUAUAGGGGUUCGACUUAACCAUGCAAGUCUGGGGGCCUUCGGGUCACCGGCGAAAUGCUCAGUAACACGUCGUUAAUCUGCCCUUAGGUCUGGGAUAACCAUGGGAAACUGUGGCUAAAACCGGAUAGGGGAAUAUGGCUGGAAUGCCUUUUCCUUCAAAAGUAAUGCCUAAGGAUGAGACGGCGGCUGAUUAGGCAGUUGGUGGGGUAAUGGCCCACCAAACCUACGAUCAGUCGGGGCCUUGAGAGAGGUAGCCCCGAGAAGGGUACUUAGACACUGACCCUAGCCCUACGGGGUGCAGCAGGUGCGGAACCUUUACAAUGCACGAAAGUGUGAUAAGGGAACCCUUAGUGCUUAUGUAUUGCAUAGGCUUUUUCUGAGAGUAAAUAUCUUAGAGAAUAAGUGGUGGGUAAGACUGGUGCCAGCAGCCGCGGUAACACCAGCGCCACGAGUGGCAGCCAUGAUUAUUGGGCCUAAAGCGUCCGUAGCCGGUCUCGUAAAUUCUGUGUGAAAUCGUUGGGCUUCACCCAACGGCGUGCAUAGAAGACUGCAAGACUUGAGACCAGGAGGAGUCAGAGGUAUUCCGGGGGGAGCGGUAAAAUGCUAUAAUCCUCGGAAGACCACCUGUGGCGAAGGCGUCUGACUAGAAUGGUUCUGACGGUGAGGGACGAAAGCUAGGGGAGCAAACCGGAUUAGAUACCCGAGUAGUCCUAGCUGUAAACGCUGCGAGCUAGGUGUUGUAUAUUCUCCGAGAAUAUGCAGUAUCGAAGCGAAGGCGAUAAGCUCGCCGCCUGGGAAGUACGGUCGCGAGACUGAAACUUAAAGGAAUUGGCGGGGGAGCACCACAAGGGGUGCGGCGUGCGGUUUAAUUUAACUCAACACAGAGAAUCUCACUAGAGGCGACGGCAGUAUGAAAGUCAGUCUAAAGGGCUUACUUGACGAGCCGAGAGGUAGUGCAUGGCCGCCGUCAGCUCGUGCUGUGAGGUGUCCAGUUAAGUCUGGCAACGAGCGAGACCCACACCUACAAUUGCUAGCUGAUCAGAAAUGAUGCCAGAGCACAUUGUGGGGACUGCCCGGGAAACUGGGAGGAAGGCGUGGGCCACGGUAGGUCUGUAUGCUCCGAAUCUUCUAGGCUACACGCGCGCAACAAUGGUUGGGACAAUGGGAUACAACUCCGUAAGGAGAAGUCAAACCUCUAAACCCAAUCUUAGUCCAGAUUGAGGGCUGUAACUCACCCUCAUGACGAUGGAAUCCCUAGUAAUCGGAUAUUAUCAGUGUCCGGUGAAUAUGUCCCUGCUCCUUGCACACACCGCCCGUCAAACCAUCCGAGCAGGGUUUAGAUGAGAAUUGGUUUUUUGACCAACGCGAAUCUAAGCUCAGUAAGGCGGGUUAAGUCGUCACGAGGUA